rnacentral:rRNA from 1 species
CCUACGGGCGGCAGCAGUGAGGAAUAUUGGUCAAUGGGCGAGAGCAUGAACCAGCCAAGUCGCGUGAGGGAAGACGGUCCUACGGAUUGUAAAACUCUUUUGUCAGGGAGCAAGGAGCGCCACGAGUGGUUCGGAGCGAGUACAUGAUGAAAAAGCAUCGACUAACUCCGUGCCAGCAGCCGUGGUAAUACGGCGGAUGCGAGCGUUAUACGGAUGUGUUGGGGUUAAAGGGUGCGCAGGAGGAAGCGGCAAGUCAGCGGUAAAAUUGCGGGGCUCAAACUGGCCGAGCCGUUGAAACUGCUCUUCUAGAGUGGGCGAGAAGUAUGCGGAAUGCGUG